CCUACGGGAGGCAGCAGUGGGGAAUUUUGGACAAUGGGCGCAAGCCUGAUCCAGCAAUGCCGCGUGAGUGAAGAAGGCCUUCGGGUUGUAAAGCUCUUUUGUCAGGGAAGAAACGGUUGGGGCUAAUAUCCUCGGCUAAUGACGGUACCUGAAGAAUAAGCACCGGCUAACUACGUGCCAGCAGCCGCGGUAAUACGUAGGGUGCAAGCGUUAAUCGGAAUUACUGGGCGUAAAGCGUGCGCAGGCGGUUUUGUAAGUCUGUCGUGAAAGCCCCGGGCUUAACCUGGGAAUUGCGAUGGAGACUGCAAGGCUUGAAUCUGGCAGAGGGGGGUAGAAUUCCACGUGUAGCAGUGAAAUGCGUAGAGAUGUGGAGGAACACCGAUGGCGAAGGCAGCCCCCUGGGUCAAGAUUGACGCUCAUGCACGAAAGCGUGGGGAGCAAACAGGAUUAGAUACCCUGGUAGUCCACGCCCUAAACGAUGUCUACUAGUUGUCGGGUCUUAAUUGACUUGGUAACGCAGCUAACGCGUGAAGUAGACCGCCUGGGGAGUACGGUCGCAAGAUUAAAACGUCAAUUGAAUUGACGG
rnacentral:rRNA from 1 species